rnacentral:rRNA from 1 species
GACGAACCGUGCGAACGUUGUUCGGAAUCACUGGGCUUAAAGGGCGCGUAGGCGGCAAUUCAAGUCAUCUGUGAAAUCUCCGGGCUUAACUCGGAACGGUCAGAUGAUACUGCUUUGCUCGAGUGCGGAAGGGGCAAUCGGAAUUCUUGGUGUAGCGGUGAAAUGCGUAGAUAUCAAGAGGAACACCUGAGGUGAAGACGGGUUGCUGGGCCGACACUGACGCUGACAGCGCGAAAGCCAGGGGAGCAAACGGG